AUGCUCGCUUCGGUAGCACAUAUACUAAGAUUGGAACGAUACAGAGAGGAUUAUCAUGGACCCUGUGCAAGGAUGACAUGCAAAUUCAUGAAGCAGUCCAUAUUUUU
ensembl:snRNA U6 U6 spliceosomal RNA